UUUGGCGCUUGGACUGCCUCUGGUCCCA
rnacentral:misc_RNA from 1 species